AUAAGCGGAGGAAAAGAAACCAACAGGGAUUGCCUCAGUAACGGCGAGUGAAGCGGCAACAGCUCAAAUUUGAAAUCUGGCCUCACGGUCCGAGUUGUAAUUUGUAGAGGAUGCUUUUGGCGAGGUGCUUUCCGAGUUCCCUGGAACGGGACGCCAUAGAGGGUGAGAGCCCCGUACGGUAAGACCACCGAGCCUCUGUAAAGCUCCUUCGACGAGUCGAGUAGUUUGGGAAUGCUGCUCUAAAUGGGAGGUGUACGUCUUCUAAAGCUAAAUACCGGCCAGAGACCGAUAGCGCACAAGUAGAGUGAUCGAAAGAUGAAAAGCACUUUGAAAAGAGGGUUAAAAAGUACGUGAAAUUGUUGAAAGGGAAGCAUUCAUGACCAGACUUGGGCUUGGUUGAACAUCCGGCGUUCUCGCCGGUGCACUCUGCCAGUCCAGGCCAGCAUCAGUUUGCCCCGGGGGACAAAGGCGGUGGGAAUGUGGCUCUCUUCGGGGAGUGUUAUAGCCCGCCGUGUAAUGCCCUGGGGCGGACUGAGGAACGCGCUUCGGCACGGAUGCUGGCGUAAUGGUCAUCAAUGACCCGUCUUGAAACACGGACCCAAGGAGUCGUCUUCGUAUGCGAGUGUUCGGGUGUCAAACCCCUACGCGUAAUGAAAGUGAACGUAGGUGAGAGCUUCGGCGCAUCACCGACCGAUCCUGAUGUUCUCGGAUGGAUUUGAGUAAGAGCAUACGGGGCCGGACCCGAAAGAAGGUGAACUAUGCCUGUAUAGGGUGAAGCCAGAGGAAACUCUGGUGGAGGCUCGCAGCGGGUUCUGACGUGCAAAUCGAUCGUC
rnacentral:rRNA from 1 species